UACAUGGGGUGCAAACGUUGCUCGGAAUUAUUGGGCGUAAAGCGCGCGUAGGCGGUUACUCAAGUCGGAUGUGAAAGCCCUCGGCUUAACUGAGGAAGUGCACCCGAAACUGAGUAGCUAGAGUACUAAAGAGGGUCGCGGAAUUCCCGGUGUAGAGGUGAAAUUCGUAGAUAUCGGGAAGAACACCCGUGGCGAAGGCGGCUCUCUGGGACGGUACUGACGCUGAGACGCGAAAGCGUGGGGAGCAAACAGG
rnacentral:rRNA from 1 species